GGGGAGAGGAACUUGUUCCUCGAGUCGUUGAUUUCACACUGCCGAGAAAAGCCUCUAGCUAGAAUAACGGUGCCCGUACCGCAAACCGACACAGGUAGUCAAGAUGAGAAUUCUAAGGUGAGCGAGCGAACUCUCGUUAAGGAACUCGGCAAAAUGACCCCGUAACUUCGGGAGAAGGGGUGCUCUUUGAGGUUCACGCUUCGAAGAGCCGCAGUGAAUAGGCCCAAGCGACUGUUUAUCAAAAACACAGGUCUCUGCUAAACCGUAAGGUGACGUAUAGGGGCUGACGCCUGCCCGGUGCUGGAAGGUUAAGAGGAGUGGUUAGCGCAAGCGAAGCUACGAAUCGAAGCCCCAGUAAACGGCGGCCGUAACUAUAACGGUCCUAAGGUAGCGAAAUUCCUUGUCGGGUAAGUUCCGACCCGCACGAAAGGCGUAACGAUUUGGGCACUGUCUCAACGAGAGACUCGGUGAAAUCAUAGUACCGGUGAAGAUGCCGGUUACCCGCGACAGGACGGAAAGACCCCGUGGAGCUUUACUGUAGCCUGAUAUUGAAAUUCGGUACAGUUUGUACAGGAUAGGUAGGAGCCUUAGAAGCGUGAGCGCUAGCUUACGUGGAGGCAUUGGUGGGAUACUACCCUAAUUGUAUUGGAUUUCUAACCCGCAGCACUUAUCGUGCUGGGAGACAGUGUCAGGCGGGCAGUUUGACUGGGGCGGUCGCCUCCUAAAGAGUAACGGAGGCGCUCAAAGGUUCCCUCAGAAUGGUUGGAAAUCAUUCAUAGAGUGUAAAGGCAUAAGGGAGCUUGACUGCGAGACCUACAAGUCGAGCAGGGUCGAAAGACGGACUUAGUGAUCCGGUGGUUCCGCAUGGAAGGGCCAUCGCUCAACGGAUAAAAGCUACCCCGGGGAUAACAGGCUUAUCUCCCCCAAGAGUUCACAUCGACGGGGAGGUUUGGCACCUCGAUGUCGGCUCAUCGCAUCCUGGGGCUGUAGUCGGUCCCAAGGGUUGGGCUGUUCGCCCAUUAAAGCGGUACGCGAGCUGGGUUCAGAACGUCGUGAGACAGUUCGGUCCCUAUCCGUCGUGGGCGUAGGAAAUUUGAGAGGAGCUGUCCUUAGUACGAGAGGACCGGGAUGGACAUACCUCUGGUGUACCAGUUGUCGUGCCAACGGCAUAGCUGGGUAGCUAUGUAUGGACGGGAUAAGUGCUGAAAGCAUCUAAGCAUGAAGCCCCCCUCGAGAUGAGAUUUCCCAACUUCGGUUAUAAGAUCCCUCAAAGAUGAUGAGGUGAAU
rnacentral:rRNA from 1 species